AGGGAGAGGGUUAAUGUUGUGUUUGGUACACAGGUUCCUAGCUAGGGAGAGAGAAGGGAGAGGAGGGAGAGGGUUAAUGUUGUGUUUGGUACACAGGUUCCUAGGUAGGGAGAGAGAAGGGAGAGGAGGGAGAGGGUUAAUGUUGUGUUUGGUACACAGGUUCCUAGGUAGGGAGAGAGAAGGGAGAGGAGGGAGAGGGUUAAUGUUGUGUUUGGUACACAGGUUCCUAGCUAGGGAGAGAGAAGGGAGUGGAGGGAGAGGGUUAAUGUUGUGUUUGGUACACAGGUUCCUAGCUAGGGAGAGAGAAGGGAGUGGAGGGAGAGGGUUAAUGUUGUGUUUGGUACACAGGUUCCUAGGUAGGGAGAGAGAAGGGAGAGGAGGGAGAGGGUUAAUGUUGUGUUUGGUACACAGGUUCCUAGGUAGGGAGAGAGAAGGGAGAGGAGGGAGAGGGUUAAUGUUGUGUUUGGUACACAGGUUCCUAGGUAGGGAGAGAGAAGGGAGUGGAGGGAGAGGGUUAAUGUUGUGUUUGGUACACAGGUUCCUAGGUAGGGAGAGAGAAGGGAGAGGAGGGAGAGGGUUAAUGUUGUGUUUGGUACACAGGUUCCUAGGUAGGGAGAGAGAAGGGAGAGGAGGGAGAGGGUUAAUGUUGUGUUUGGUACACAGGUUCCUAGCUAGGGAGAGAGAAGAAUGAGAAGGGAGACAUGAGAGACACAGAUAUUGUUGACAAAUAACAUGUUUGGUUUGACAUUGAUUAAAGGGUCUCGUGGCUCAGAAGAGAGAGCAGAGAGGGGACGCAGUGUCAAGGUGUAUGAUUGGCAUUGAUAUGCAGUAGCCUACAGAACUGUUGUCUGUCAACACUACUCAGUACAUACACUGCUAUCUGGAAAUAGUCUCAAUGUUUUAUCUGGUUUGACAUUGAGGAGACAGUCCCAUAGUUACGGGAGAGAGGAGACAGUCCCAUAGUUACGGGAGACAGGACAUAGUCCCAUAGUUACGGGAGACAGGACACAGUCCCAUAGUUACGGGAGAGAGGACACAGUCCCAUAGCUACGGGAGACAGGACAUAGUCCCAUAGUUACGGGAGACAGGACACAGUCCCAUAGCUACGGGAGAGAGGACACAGUCCCAUAGCUACGGGAGAGAGGACACAGUCCCAUAGCUAUGGGAGAGAGGACACAGUCCCAUAGCUACGGGAGAGAGGACACAGUCCCAUAGCUACGGGAGAGAGGACACAGUCCCAUAGCUACGGGAGAGAGGACACAGUCCCAUAGCUACGGGAGAGAGGACACAGUCCCAUAGCUACGGGAGGAGAGGACACAGUCCCAUAGCUACGGGAGAGAGGAGACAGUCCCAUAGCUACGGGAGAGAGGACACAGUCCCAUAGCUACGGGAGAGAGGAGACAGUCCCAUAGCUACGGGAGAGAGGAGACAGUCCCAUAGCUACGGGAGAGAGGAGACAGUCCCAUAGCUACGGGAGAGAGGAAACAGUCCCAUAGCUACGGGAGAGAGGAGACAGUCCCAUAGCUAAGGGAGAGAGGAGACAGUCCCAUAGCUACAGGAGAGAGGAGACAGUCCCAUAGCUACAGGAGAGAGGAGACAGUCCCAUAGCUAAGGGAGAGAGGACACAGUCCCAUAGCUACAGGAGAGAGGACACAGUCCCAUAGCUACGGGAGAGAGGACACAGUCCCAUAGCUACGGGAGAGAGGAGACAGUCCCAUAGCUACAGGAGAGAGGACACAGUCCCAUAGCUACGGGAGAGAGGAGACAGUCCCAUAGCUACGGGAGAGAGGAGACCAGGAGCACUGAUACAAAUGGAUAGUUGUUAAACUGAUGCCUGUCUAAUCCCUCUGUUACCUGUCUAGUCCUGUACCUCUCUGUCUAGUCCUGUACCUCUCUGUCUAGUCCUGUACCUCUCUGUCUAGUCCUGUACCUCUCUGUCUAGUCAUGUACCUCUCUGUCUAACCCUGCACCUCUCUGUCUAGUCCUGUACCUCACUGUCUAGUCCUGUACCUCUCUGUCUAACCCUGUACCUCUCUGUCUAACCCUGUACCUCUCUGUCUAGUCCUGUACCUCUCUGUCUAACCCUUUACCUCUCUGUCUAGUCCUGUACCUCUCUGUCUAACCCUGU